AGGACGAACGCUGGCGGCGUGCUUAACACAUGCAAGUCGAGCGGAAAGGCCCUUCGGGGUACUCGAGCGGCGAACGGGUGAGUAACACGUGAGCAACCUGCCCCUCACACUGGGAUAACCUCGGGAAACCGGGGCUAAUACCGGAUACGACCUCGAGCGGCAUCUCUUGAGGUGGAAAGCUCCGACGGUGAGGGAUGGGCCCGCGGCCUAUCAGCUUGUUGGUGGGGUAAUGGCCUACCAAGGCGACGACGGGUA
rnacentral:rRNA from 1 species